AAUCUCGUAGGUGCUUCACAGGAAACAGUUCAAUGUUUGCUGGAAUGGAAAAUAUCGUUCAUGUCUAAAUGAGGCCUACAAAGCAAGCUAAGCUUUGGCUACGUUUGGAAGAGAAUAUAUCUUUUCAAUUCAAGUAAAAGUUGAACUGUUUCCUCUGAAGUUCCUGCAGAUUUC